rnacentral:rRNA from 1 species
AUGAACGCUGGCGGCGUGCCUAAUACAUGCAAGUCGAGCGAACAGACGAGGAGCUUGCUCCUCUGACGUUAGCGGCGGACGGGUGAGUAACACGUGGAUAACCUACCUAUAAGACUGGGAUAACUUCGGGAAACCGGAGCUAAUGCCGGAUAAUAUAUUGAACCGCAUGGUUCAAUAGUGAAAGACGGUUUUGCUGUCACUUAUAGAUGGAUCCGCGCCGCAUUAGCUAGUUGGUAAGGUAACGGCUUACCAAGGCAACGAUGCGUAGCCGACCUGAGAGGGUGAUCGGCCACACUGGAACUGAGACACGGUCCAGACUCCUACGGGAGGCAGCAGUAGGGAAUCUUCCGCAAUGGGCGAAAGCUUGACGGAGCAACGCCGCGUGAGUGAUGAAGGUCUUCGGAUCGUAAAACUCUGUUAUUAGGGAAGAACAAAUGUGUAAGUAACUAUGCACGUCUUGACGGUACCUAAUCAGAAAGCCACGGCUAACUACGUG